rnacentral:rRNA from 1 species
CAGCCGCCACGGGAAUACGGAGUGAGCUAGCGUUGGUCGGAAUUACUGGGCGUAAAGCGCACGUAGGCGGUUUAUCAAGUCAGAGGUGAAAGCCCGGGGCUCAACCCCGGAACUGCCUUUGAAACUAGUAGACCUGAAUCUUGGAGAGGUCAGUGGAAUUCCGAGUGUAGAGGUGAAAUUCGUAGAUAUUCGGAAGAACACCAGUGGCGAAGGCGACUGACUGGACAAGUAUUGACGCUGAGGUGCGAAAGCGUGGGGAGCAAACAGGAUUAGAUACCCGUGUAGUCCCUGUCUCUUAUAC